AUUGAACGCUGGCGGCAUGCUUUACACAUGCAAGUCGAACGGUAACAGGGAGCUUGCUCCGCUGACGAGUGGCGAACGGGUGAGUAAUGUAUCGGAACGUACCCAAGAGUGGGGGAUAACGUAGCGAAAGUUACGCUAAUACCGCAUACGAUCUAUGGAUGAAAGUGGGGGACCUUCGGGCCUCAUGCUCCUGGAGCGGCCGAUAUCUGAUUAGCUAGUUGGUGAGGUAAAGGCUCACCAAGGAGACGAUCAGUAGCUGGUCUGAGAGGACGACCAGCCACACUGGGACUGAGACACGGCCCAGACUCCUACGGGAGGCAGCAGUGGGAAAUUUUGGACAAUGGGGGCAACCCUGAUCCAGCAAUGCCGCGUGAGUGAAGAAGGCCUUCGGGUUGUAAAGCUCUUUUGUCAGGGAAGAAACGGUGCGGGCUAAUAUCCCGUGCUAAUGACGGUACCUGAAGAAUAAGCACCGGCUAACUACGUGCCAGCAGCCGCGGUAA
rnacentral:rRNA from 1 species